rnacentral:rRNA from 1 species
UUCGCAAUGCCCGAAAGGGUGACGAAGCGACGCCGCGUGAGUGAAGAAGGCCUUCGGGUUGUAAAACUCUGUCAGGGGUUAUGAAAUGUAAGUUCGAGAAUACCGGAUUUACUUGACAAAGGCUCCAAAGGAAGCCACGGCUAACUCUGUGCCAGCAGCCGCGGUAAUACAGAGGUGGCAAGCGUUGUUCGGAAUUAUUGGGCGUAAAGAGCACGUAGGUGGGUUUGUAAGUCAGAUGUGAAAGCCUUCUGUUCAACGGAAGAAUUGCAUCUGAAACUGCGAGUCUUGAGUGUAGGAGGGGAGAAUGGAACUUCUGGUGGAGAGGUGAAAUGCGUAGAUAUCAGAAGGAACGCCGGCGGCGAAAGCGAUUCUCUGGCCUAUUACUGACACUCAGUGUGCGAAAGCUAGGGGAGCAAACGGGAUUAGAUACCCCGGUAGUCCUAGCCGUAAACGAUGGGCACUAAGUAGAGGGGUUUU